UACGAAGGGGGCUAGCGUUGGUCGGAAUCACUGGGCGUAAAGCGCACGCAGGCGGCUUGAUAAGUCAGGGGUGAAAUCCCGGAGCUCAACUUCGGAAUUGCCUUUGAUACUGUCUGUCUUGAGUCCGGGAGAGGUGAGUGGAAUUCCUAGUGUAGAGGUGAAAUUCGUAGAUAUUAGGAAGAACACCAGUGGCGAAGGCGGCUCACUGGCCCGGAACUGACGCUCAUGUGCGAAAGCGUGGGGAGCAAACAGG
rnacentral:rRNA from 1 species